UACGUAGGAUGCAAGCGUUGUUCGGAAUUACUGGGCGUAAAGAGUACGUAGGCGGUCUGGCAAGUCUGAUAUUAAAGACUGGAGCUCAACUUCAGGACUGUAUCGGAAACUGCCAAACUAGAGGACAAUAGAGGAAGUCGGAAUUCUCAGUGUAGCGGUGAAAUGCGUAGAUAUUGGGAAGAACACCAGUGGCGAAAGCGGACUUCUGGGUUGUUACUGACGCUGAGGUACGAAAGCGUGGGGAGCAAACGGG
rnacentral:rRNA from 1 species